rnacentral:lncRNA from 1 species
AAAAGUCUGAGCUAGAAGCAAGUAGCAUGGUAAUUGAGUUCACAGGAUUCAUAGGAUCCUGGAAUCACAGAAUGGUUUGGGUUGGAAGGGACCUUAAAGACCAUCUAAUUUAAAUCCCCAUGCCAUGGGCAGGGAUACCUCCUGCUAGACCAGGUUGCCCAAAGCUCCAUCCAGCCUGGCCAGUUAUUUUUAUCAAGCUUGUCAUUGGAACUGUGGAACGCAGACAUGUCAGAGGUCUGGAGACCAGAAGGGAAGUCAGAGGUGCUGCUGUUCCAGCUGAUGACUCUAUAGAAGUCCGUGGAGAAGCGUCCUGCUCUCAUGCAAGGUGGGCUCCAUCCUGAGAGGUGUCUUCUGCAGACCUGGGAGGGCGUCCUUGCAGCAGGUGACUUUUCUCACUGGUCCCUGGGAAUAAAUCUGCCCUCUUA